GGAUGUGAGGGCGAUCUAGCUGCGACAUCUGUCACCCCAUUGAUUGUAAGGGUUGAUUUGGCUGAUCUGGCUGGGCUAGGCGGGUGUCCCCUUUCUCCCUUACCACUCCAUGUGCAUCCCUCCCGAAGCUGCACGCUAGGUCAAAGAGAACAGGCUUCCCUGAAGAAAGAGGGGGUCUUUGGUUGAGGGUAUACGAGUAGAUGCACUCACCUGCUAGAACAAGCUCUCAAGAAGCCCAUGCCAAAAAUCUGUACACAGAUAAACAUUAAAACAGCAAACUAUUU
rnacentral:snRNA from 1 species